rnacentral:miRNA from 1 species
GAAAUGCCUCCAUGAGAUCCAGCUGUAAGACAUUUUCUCAAUUAGUGAUCAAUGGGGGAGGGCCCAUGGUGGGUGGCGCCGUCACUGACUGUUGGUCCUG